UUUUAUUUGAGAGUUUGAUCCUGGCUCAGGAUGAACGCUGGCGGCGUGCCUAACACAUGCAAGUUGAGCGAUUUACUUCGGUAAAGAGCGGCGGACGGGUGAGUAACGCGUGGGUAACCUACCCUGUACACACGGAUAACAUACCGAAAGGUAUGCUAAUACGGGAUAAUAUAUUUGAGAGGCAUCUCUUAAAUAUCAAAGGUGAGCCAGUACAGGAUGGACCCGCGUCUGAUUAGUUAGUUGGUAAGGUAACGGCUUACCAAGGCGACGAUCAGUAGCCGACCUGAGAGGGUGAUCGGCCACAUUGGAACUGAGACACGGUCCAAACUCCUACGGGAGGCAGCAGUGGGGAAUAUUGCACAAUGGGCGAAAGCCUGAUGCAGCAACGCCGCGUGAGUGAUGAAGGCCUUCGGGUCGUAAAACUCUGUCCU
rnacentral:rRNA from 1 species